ACCAGAACUGCUUUAUCCCCUGACAGACGUCGGUGGAGUUUCCCUCCCGACUCCAGUUGAGCCCGAAGAGCACUUUCUGUUCCCCUUUUGACUAUUUGCCUUGUUUGUUUUUUUCUUUUUCCCUUCCCAGGUCGUAUGGGAAAUACAAUCAUUGGCUACAAAUCAAACUGCUGUGCUUGUGCAUUUGGGUCGACCUACUACUCCCCCUAACAUGGACGUAACGGAUCGGAGGAGAACACACAGAGAAUGAGGAAGGACACCAGGAGAACAGAACGCACUGUAGAGCAAACGCUCAUAUUUAUUUUACCCACACUGUCACACAGCGCUCCUUCCUCUGCUCCUGAC
ensembl:lncRNA